CGGGCCCUGAGCAGUCAGGGCUGUGUGUGGGUGCUGGCUGCUCUGCUCCCGCAUUAAGCUGGAAAAAGCCCUUGGAAGCCGAGUCAGGGGUAGGCGGGAAGGGGCCGGCGCUGCUGCUGCUCCUGGCCGGGAGCCCCGGCUGGGCAGGGCCGUCACCCCCUGCGCUGCCGUUGCUGCUGUGAAGAGGCAGUGGAAGUUCAGCGAGUGUCUGCUGGCAGAGGACAGGAGCCGAGCGGCCGAGCACCUGCGCCGGGCCCUCCCCUACCUGCAGAGGCCACAGGAGUCCCUGAGAGCAGCGGCCAUCAGGCAUGGCCGGGCGGCAGCUGAGGGGGAAGAAGGAAGAGCUGCAGCUGAUCUGCACUGCCCUUGAACCGCUGACAGAGGACAUCAGCAGUGCCGUGUCGGACGUGGCACUAGAAACCCUGUAUGUCCUCCGGGCACUGCAGAGUGAGCGAUAUUCCCUCUUCCAGAGGCUGCAAGAUCAGCUCCGCAGGGCAUGGAGGACACGGCCUCGUCUGUUGGGGCUCGGCUGGCUGCGCUGCUGCAGCUCUGCAGAGAGCUGAUGCCAGAGGCUCUGUCUGCUGGGACCACCGGAGCCAGAUGGAAUUUUCCAGUUCUUUA